rnacentral:rRNA from 1 species
UGAAUACGAGAUGCUACGGCGUCGAAGCAGUCUAUGUCAUACUUCCAAGAAAAGCUUGCACUGUCAUAAACAAAUAAUGCCUGUACCAUAACCGACACAGGUGGGUAGGUAGAGUAUACUAAGGGGCGCGAGAUAACUCUCUCUAAGGAACUCGGCAAAAUGACUCCGUAACUUCGGGAGAAGGAGUGCCUUACUUAUAAGGUUGCAAUAACAAGAUCCAAGCAACUGUUUACCAAAAACACAGGUCUCCGCUAAGUCGUAAGACGAUGUAUGGGGGCUGACGCCUGCCCAGUGCCAGAAGGUUAAAGAAGUUGGUUAGCAUCCGCGAAGCUGAUAACUGAAGCCCUGGUGAACGGCGGCCGUAACAAUAACGGUCCUAAGGUAGCGAAAUUCCUUGUCGGGUAAGUUCCGACCCGCACGAAAGGCGUAAUGAUUUGGAUACUGUCUCGGAGAGGGGCUCGGUGAAAUAGACUUGUCUGUGAAGAUGCGGACUACCUGCACCAGGACAGAAAGACCCUAUGAAGCUUUACUGUAACCUGAAAUUGAAAUUGGACUUUACUUGCGCAGUAUAGGUGGGAGGCGUUGAGAAUAUUCUUGCGGGAUUAUUGGAGCCAUCAGUGAGAUACCACUCUUGUAAUGUUAGAUUUCUAACUUUGUAUCAUUAUCUGGUCAAAGAACAGUUUCAGGCGGGCAGUUUGACUGGGGCGGUCGCCUCCUAAACGGUAACGGAGGCGCACAAAGGUUUCCUCUGAACGGGUAGAAAUCGUAUCUAGAGUGUAAAGGCAUAAGGAAGCUUGACUGUGAGACCUACAAGUCGAGCAGGGACGAAAGUCGGUCUUAGUGAUCUGACGGUGCUGAGUGGAAAGGCCGUCACUCAACGGAUAAAAGUUACUCUAGGAUAACAGGCUGAUCUCCCCCAAGAGUUCACAUCGACGGGGAGGUUUGGCACCUCGAUGUCGGCUCAUCGCAUCCUGGGGCGGUAGUACGUCCCAAGGGUUGGGCUGUUCGCCCAUGAAAGCGGUACGCGAGCUGGGUUCAGAACGUCGUGAGACAGUUCGGUCCAUAUCCGGUGUAGGCGUUAGAAUAUUGAGAGGAGCCUUCUUUAGUACGAGAGGACCGAGAAGGACAUACCUCUGGUGUACCAGUUAUCGUGCCAACGGUAAACGCUGGGUAGCUAUGUGUGGAGUGGAUAACCGCUGAAAGCAUCUAAGUGGGAAGCCCACCUCAAGAUAAGUAUUCUCA